CAUAAAACUAAAGAGAAAAAUUCUAACUAAUGAAAGAUAAAAACAGUAAUAUAUGAGAGUGAUAAUUGGCAAAGAUGGAACCAGUGGAACUUGCAUACCAAAAGUGAGAUUGAAACAUUGACUGGCUCUAAUAAAUAACUAAGCUCGUUGCCUGAAAAACUUGAAUUGCACAAAAAGUCGGAGGCCCAAUGUUGAGUCAUGUUCCUUGAAUCAGCAACAACUUCAGAUAAGCUACAAUAAAUUGCCAAAGCUUCAAUGUUUACAUAUUUUUUUACUUGUCCACCCUUCAACUUCCCGCCAGAUGACCUAAACAUACCAAAAAAGCUAAUUUCAAAAUGGAAAAAGAGCAUUAAAUAGAAAAUAGAUAACAAUACAAGCAAAAAAAUCAUAGACCAACAAAAGAAAAAUAUAAGCAAAACAUUAACAAAAAACAUAUUGAUUAUCAAGGGGUAUUCGCCCAAAUGGAAUCCAAUAUUAAUGGUUUUCAAGAGUCAAAUAUUGAGACUUCUCUGAUAACUAGCACAUGGAUGUGGAAGUUUAAGGAUUUGGGUGACAAGAUUUACAAGGAUUUGGGUGAGUCAUGAGUGUUCGGUGUCUUGCAUCCUAAAAUUAAGAGCCUCAGGGUGGUUUGGGUUGAGUUCAGCAGUGAGCCAAUAUGGAAACUUAGCUUAACUACUAAUGUUAUUCAUAAGCCACUCAUCUUCACCCCUCAUUUCCCAAGAAGUUCUCCAUUGGAGAAUCUUAUUGAAGUUCUUCGUUGGAGAAGUUCAUAAGCCACCCCCCGUUGGAGAAGAAUUACUUGGAAGUUAAAUAUGUCCCCUAUAAUUACUUUUUUUCGGCUCAAGAGGGAACUACUAAGAUAAUUCUUACCACUAAUAAUCUAAGAAUGAGGUGAAAGAUUAUGGUAACUGGGUCUUCUUCACGAAAGAGGGAAGGGAAACCUUUUAUCACCUCCUUUCAUGACACCCCCUCUUCCCUUGCCUUUGGUGUUAGGUAUUAUGUGGCAAUCAAGUUCUAUUGUGAAUGAGAUUUUUGCUUGGCAGUGUGUUUGUGGUCAUUAGAGAAGGAGAAAUCUUAUUUUUCUUAUACCUUGGUUAUGUUGUAGGUUAUGUGGAAAGAAAGCAAAAUAGAAAUUUGCCUAACAUUUUGACUUCAUCUUUUGGUAAAGUUAGAGAUUUAUGGUAGUAAACCUUUUGUUUUUUGUUCAACAGCAGCCACCUUACUUCUUAUAAGGACUUAGUGGUUCUUGUAGACAUUUUAAUUAGUUUGGUCAAAUGUAUCUUUUUUUGCACUUGGGUGGCACUCUCUUGGUAGCUGUUGAUAGAAUUAUUCUUUGCUCAAAAAAUAAUACAAAAAAUAUAGAAUUCAAGUACAACAUUGGAGAGUUAACCUAAAAAAUUACCCAAACGGAUUUUGCUUUGUUAUUGUCAAGCUGGCAAACCUUAAACCGAAUAUAACCUGUCCCUGAAGAAACAAAGUUAAACAAUAAAAAACAAAAAAAAAAAAACGAUUCAGACAGUACCAUCUCGCAAAGAGAGCACUUGAUAAUGCAGACAGAAAAAAAAAAAUGGUGGUUAUAAAUCCUUGCAGACAAGAAAUAACUCUAUCCAUUAGCUGCCAUUUUUUCAAUAAUGUUUUAUUAAUUUAACAUAUUCUCAUGAGUCAAUUACUUUUAACAAAAAUAUUCUCAUGGUCAAGGCAUCGAAAUAAUAAAAGAAAAAAAAUAAGUAUAGGGAGAAAAGUUAUAUUGUUAUGUUUGUCAUUAUUCCUUUUUAUUUAUGAAGAACUUUA
rnacentral:lncRNA from 1 species